UUGUGGAGGAGGUUUAAUUGCGAGUGGAGAUGAGGGGAAUGAGAGCAUUUGAGGAGAACGACUAUGCUCACCCCAAGAAGACUGUUAUGCAAACCACUGAAAAUGAAUGUCAAAUUGCUCAUCCAGCACUUCCUGUCUGAAUCUCAUCUUUCCAGGAUAUUGUCCAUCAUUCUUAGAAGCUUGAUGAGAUUGUGAAACUACCACAUAAGCAGUUUGAAGGACAAGCAUCUGAGAUGUAUGACCACAGAUAAG